rnacentral:lncRNA from 1 species
AGCAAAUAUUUAUAUCAGUUGAGGAGCUACACGAUGAGGUUCAUCCAGUGCGCGUUCCUGUUCAUUCUCGCUAUGUUAGUGGUUGUCAUUACGGCAUGGCCACAACCGCAGGAGCCGGAUUGCGAGACGGAUAGCGACUGCCUACCUAUGUUUGAAUGUGACACCGACUGGGAUAAAUGUAAACCCUUUUAGUGUAGCAGGAGAAAAUGCGGGUUGGGGCUUGAAGAAAGUUAUUAGCUCCACCCUUGGCUUCUUUGGAAACUUAUUUAAAUUUUUGUAUUCACAUAUUUAAAUAAAUGAACACCUUCAAAUAA